rnacentral:rRNA from 1 species
UAGGGAAUCUUCGGCAAUGGACGAAAGUCUGACCGAGCAACGCCGCGUGAGUGAAGAAGGUUUUCGGAUCGUAAAACUCUGUUGUUAGAGAAGAACAAGGACGUUAGUAACUGAACGUCCCCUGACGGUAUCUAACCAGAAAGCAACGGCUAACUACGUGCCAGCAGCCGCGGUAAUACGUAGGUGGCAAGCGUUGUCCGGAUUUAUUGGGCGUAAAGCGAGCGCAGGCGGUUUCUUAAGUCUGAUGUGAAAGCCCCCGGCUCAACCGGGGAGGGUCAUUGGAAACUGGGAGACUUGAGUGCAGAAGAGGAGAGUGGAAUUCCAUGUGUAGCGGUGAAAUGCGUAGAUAUAUGGAGGAACACCAGUGGCGAAGGCGGCUCUCUGGACUGUAACUGACGCUGAGGCUCGAAAGCGUGGGGAGCAAACAGG